rnacentral:lncRNA from 1 species
CCGAGUGCAGCCAGAUGGAGGAGGGAUCGAGGCCGGACAGGAGGGAGCUGGAGGACAUCCUGAGACAGGUGUCGGAGCUGGGGCGGUGGAGGGGAGCGCGGCGGCUCCGCGGGUGGGGACCGCGCCUUCGUCCUCCUCCUCCUCAUCAUCAUCAUCAUCUUCUUCUUCUUCUUCCUCCUCCUCUUUCGAUCGAUGUUCUCCGCUCGAACCCGUGUUUCACACAAAUCGGCCGUGUUCUCUAUUCUCCCUUCGCUCACGGGCUGGACUCGCACACUUGUUUUGUGAAGAAGCCUGUGGAAAGGGGCAAAGCGGAAGGAGACGGGGAGGACGCACCUAGGAGACCACCUUCCCGCACCCAGCACCCCCGCGGUCUCCCCACCCUCCCGUCGCCGCCCUUCUCGGUCCCUCGGACCCUGACCAUCUCCCCCGGCCCGGGGGGUCUCCCCGUGAGUGCCGAGCAGGCUGUGGUAAGUCCGGGACCCGAGCCGUAAUGCGACACCUGCGUGUGCAGAUGUGCGCAUCGACCGCAACCGCGUCCC